rnacentral:rRNA from 1 species
UACGGAGGGAGCUAGCGUUGUUCGGAAUUACUGGGCGUAAAGCGCACGUAGGCGGCUUUGUAAGUUAGAGGUGAAAGCCCGGGGCUCAACCCCGGAAUUGCCUUUAAGACUGCAUCGCUUGAAUCCGGGAGAGGUGAGUGGAAUUCCCGGUGUAGCGGUGAAAUGCGCAGAUAUCGGGAAGAACACCCGUGGCGAAGGCGGCUCUCUGGGACGGUACUGACGCUGAGACGCGAAAGCGUGGGGAGCGAACCGG